rnacentral:rRNA from 1 species
UGGGGAAUCUUGCACAAUGGGCGCAAGCCUGAUGCAGCAACGCCGCGUGCGGGAAGACGGCCCUAGGGUUGUAAACCGCUUUCAGGAGGGAAGAAAAUGACGGUACCUCCAGAAGAAGGUGCGGCCAACUACGUGCCAGCAGCCGCGGUGACACGUAGGCACCAAGCGUUAUCCGGAUUUAUUGGGCGUAAAGAGCUCGUAGGCGGUUCGGUAAGUCGGGUGUGAAAAUCCAAGGCUCAACCUUGGGACGCCACCCGAUACUGCUGUGACUCGAGUGCAGUAGGGGAGCAGGGAAUUCCUGGUGUAGCGGUGAAAUGCGCAGAUAUCAGGAGGAACACCAGUGGCGAAGGCGCUGCUCUGGGCUGUAACUGACGCUGAGGAGCGAAAAGCAUGGGGUAGCAAAACAGGAUUAGAUACCCUGGUAGUCCAUGCCGUAAACGUUGGGCACUAGGUGUGGGUCUCAACCAACGAGAUCCGCGCCGUCGCUAACGCAUUAAGUGCCCCGCCUGGGGAGUACGGUCGCAAGACUAAAAC